rnacentral:rRNA from 1 species
UACGGAGGGUGCAAGCGUUAUCCGGAUUCACUGGGUUUAAAGGGUGCGUAGGUGGGCAGGUAAGUCAGUGGUGAAAUCUCCGGGCUUAACCCGGAACUGCCGUUGAUACUAUCUGUCUUGAAUAUAGUGGAGGUGAGCGGAAUAUGUCAUGUAGCGGUGAAAUGCUUAGAUAUGACAUAGAACAUCGAUUGCGAAGGCAGCUCGGCUACGCUAUUAUUGACACUGAGGCACGAAAGCGUGGGGAUCAAACAGG